rnacentral:rRNA from 1 species
AUUGAACGCUGGCGGCAGGCCUAACACAUGCAAGUCGAACGGUAACAGGAAGCAGCUUGCUGCUUCGCUGACGAGUGGCGGACGGGUGAGUAAUGUCUGGGAAACUGCCUGAUGGAGGGGGAUAACUACUGGAAACGGUAGCUAAUACCGCAUAACGUCGCAAGACCAAAGAGGGGGACCUUAGGGCCUCUUGCCAUCGGAUGUGCCCAGAUGGGAUUAGCUAGUAGGUGGGGUAACGGCUCACCUAGGCGACGAUCCCUAGCUGGUCUGAGAGGAUGACCAGCCACACUGGAACUGAGACACGGUCCAGACUCCUACGGGAGGCAGCAGUGGGGAGUAUUGCACAAUGGGCGCAAGCCUGAUGCAGCCAUGCCGCGUGUAUGAAGAAGGCCUUCGGGUUGUAAAGUACUUUCAGCGGGGAGGAAGGGAGUAAAGUUAAUACCUUUGCUCAUUGACGUUACCCGCAGAAGAAGCACCGGCUAACUCCGUG